GCGAGAAUCACAGUGCGGUUCUCCUCUGGCAUGAACGACGGCUGGAGCAGCUUGCCACAUGGCUCGGCCACGGCCCUUGCUUGCCAAAGGAGAAUUGCCCUGCCAUUCGGAA
rfam:Sorghum bicolor cultivar BTx623 chromosome 4, whole genome shotgun sequence.